GACCAAACACCCAACUACAGUGGUAGAGGCGAAGGGAAAUCACCAAUAUGCAGAAGCAGCAGCAGAGAUAAACAGCACCAGUAAUGUGGAAUAAAUGUGUCUCUGUAAUCUGAAAGAAGAACAGGUAGUUGACUUUGUAGAGACAGUUUCACUAGGGGCAAUGAAGCACACAGCUGCCUCAGGAACCUGUAGGAGCAAUGAGCAUGUAAGAAAGAGAGAGAGAAAAACAUUGGAGCUGUGUGCAGCAGACCUCCAGCGAGGAGAAGUAGAAGGCAGACAAGACUGAAAGUAGGUCAGGGAGAGGUCUGUUUUCUUACUGCUCCAUAAUCCGGGGACAAGGGAAAACACCGGUAUGAAGGGGUGCUGCUGCAGCAGGAUGGAACGUAGGCAAAAUGCACUGAAGGUGAGUCAGGGCACAUUUAAAAGGUUGAUAAGGUCAGUUCAUGCUCACUGGUGAAGGCACCAGACUGUAGCGCACAAGGACUAAUAGGUCACUAGGUGCUGGUCAGGCUAAGUCCCAGCUGCAGGUGUCUGCCACACUGUAGUGUUUGGACCUGAAUCGCCACUCCCUUCCACCAGCUGUAGUGCCCUUAAACUCAAACGAGUUACUCUGGUGUGUAACAGGUGCUGUGGAGUGGAAUUAGGCCAGCUGGGUGCUCGAGUGGGCUGGCUACUGCACUGCUGAGGGUGCAGUACCAUUCGGGAACUUCUGGUGGGCGAAGCUUCUCCAGCUGCUGGAGCCUCUAGGAUGCUGCUGCUCCACUGCAGACAACAGAGGGACCAGUCACUCAACAGGGAUUCCCAGCCUGUGUGGGGUUAAUCCAGGGCAGCCUCGUAACAACCACAGGGUAUCGGGCUCCUUGGACUGCCCUGGUAUUCCCUGCUGCUUCUGCCCCUGCUUCUCCUGUUCCAGUGAGAGGUGGGAUGGGUGUCUGUGCUGCAGAUUUCUUGGUUUUGAACCGGCCCUGGAAAACCACAACAGCGACAUGUAUCUUACUCUGCAUCCUCCACUAGAACAAUGUGUAUCUGGUGCAAAAUCCAUGCUGGCUCCUGGAAUCCCUCUCACAGCCAUUGGCCAGCCCCAGCUCCUUGCAGGCUUUGAUAGACGGCUGGUAAAAAGGAGAUAAACAGGAUUGCAUCAAAGAAAUACCUGAUUCCUUCAUCAACUCCUUCUCCUAAUGGAAACAAUCCACAAGAUCCCAAAUUUGACUAGCUGCUCAGGUGCUCCUGGAAAAGUGUGCGUGUGUAGGAGGGAGAGAAAUGGAGAACCAUUCCCCCCUACAAAGAGUUCUCUAUACCAAAAAUGGUUUGGGUUUUGAAACGGAAACAAAACUUUCUGAUUUCAAAUUAAUUGAAAAUUAGAAACUUCUGUGGAAAAUGUUGAAUGCAACAAAAUGUUUAAUUUUUUUUGGUGGGGGUAUGGGGAGAAUGUUUUUAAGGACAAUACCUUUUUUUCAGACCGGUUCUAACCGGGAUUCAUAUCUGGAUGAGCAAGGAAGUUGAUCUACCACGACAGACAACUUUUGCAGAAUGCUGCCAUAGUAUCAUUUGGGAUGCUACUUGAUUUGAAGUCUAUUUGAACAGACAGAAGAUUUUUUUACUAUAAUCCAGGGAAAUUAUUUUCUUUAAGAGUGGUAUGCUAAGGAAACUGUCCUGGUUUCAUACAUUCCCUAAGAUUGUCAGUACUAAUAAAAAGGCUAAACAAAGGGAUUCAUCACCAAUGCAAAUAAAAUAUUAACUGCAAAGAAGAGAGAGCAAACGUAAGAGAUGCAUUUUCAUUAGGUAAUUGGGGAAGACUCUGGCCUCUUUCAGUCUGCUUAUCCUGCAAAGAUCUUACCAUUUAUUUCUCUUAUAGCCUUUACAUUGGAUAAGAUAUAAUGGAUACUGGAUCUGGAUAGUGGCUUUCCUUCAGUUUCAGAGGCACCUGUCAUGUUGUGUGAUGCCACUUUACAUUUGUUAAAAUAACAUUGCAAGACAUAACAUAAUGCAAUGCAAAAUGAAGCGUUAUAAAUGUGACAUGGCGUGUCUAAAACAAUUCUUGCUUUUAGUGGAUCAGUUAUCCUUUAAAAGCUGGUAUUUAGGAUUGUCCUUAGAUAAUUCAAUAGCUCCACAUCUCUUGUAGGAGCAAUGUCAACCUGAGUUACCAUUUCUGCUUAACAGAGAUGAUGGGAGAAGAUGGCAUGAAAAGGGAUGAAAGGAAAACAGAUUCUGAAUACAUAUCCUGGAGCACUUUUUCAAGCAAGUGAUCAAGGGAAGUUUUUGGGGCCAAGCUCUGCAGCCCUGUAAGAAACAGUAACCAUCAGAGAACAGCUGGGCUCUGAGGUAUGGUUUUUGCUGUACUCCUUCUUGCUUUUUAGUUUUCCUUGACUGUUUAGGCCACCAUCACUGUGAGUGCGCUGACAUCAUGGAAGAAAAAUGUGUUAAAUUGAUUCUGCCUGAGAGGGAAGGGAAGUGGAUUUAGAGUACAAAUUGUUGCUGAAAUCGGGAGAAUGCAGCUUGGAAUUUCUGUGAACCCAAAGCACGUGACCGUCUCCCUUUUUUUCCCCAUAUUAAAAACAAACAAACACCAAAACAUCCUGGAUUGAGGAGAGUUCUUUCUUGGAAUCAGGAGCCUAAAAAGCCAUGGAUUUCACAGGUACAGAAGUUUGUCUGGUGAGAAGCAGAGUGCUAAAUAUAAGAUUUGACUGACUGAACAGGCAUGCUUAGAGAAACGAAAAACUUGGAAUGAAUAAAACCAGAUCCCAGCUAUAGGGAAUUCUUAACCUUUAAUAUUAGCACUCCUUCAUACUGCAAUAAAGUACCACCCUAUUUUCUUAUAGCAUCCCUCUAACAUAAAAUUGUUGUUAUAAUUUAUGAUGACUUUGUUUCCAGGCACACCCACAAACACAAAAGAAGGCAUGC